GUGGGGAAUUUUGGACAAUGGGCGCAAGCCUGAUCCAGCCAUGCCGCGUGCAGGAUGAAGGCCUUCGGGUUGUAAACUGCUUUUGUACGGAACGAAAAAGCUCUCUCUAAUACAGGGGGUGAAUGACGGUACCGUAAGAAUAAGCACCGGCUAACUACGUGCCAGCAGCCGCGGUAAUACGUAGGGUGCAAGCGUUAAUCGGAAUUACUGGGCGUAAAGCGUGCGCAGGCGGUUAUGUAAGACAGAGGUGAAAUCCCCGGGCUCAACCUGGGAACUGACUUUGUGACUGCAUAGCUGGAGUGCGGCAGAGGGGGAUGGAAUUCCGCGUGUAGCAGUGAAAUGCGUAGAUAUGCGGAGGAACACCGAUGGCGAAGGCAAUCCCCUGGGCCUGCACUGACGCUCAUGCACGAAAGCGUGGGGAGCAAACAGGAUUAGAUACCCUGGUAGUCC
rnacentral:rRNA from 1 species